GUUACCAGCACGUUAUGGUGGGCACUCUAAGGAGACUGCCGGUGACAAACCGGAGGAAGGUGGGGAUGACGUCAAGUCAUCAUGGCCCUUAUGUCCAGGGCGACACACGUGCUACAAUGGUCGGUACAAAGGGUUGCCAAGCCGCGAGGUGGAGCUAAUCCCAUAAAACCGAUCGUAGUCCGGAUCGCAGUCUGCAACUCGACUGCGUGAAGUCGGAAUCGCUAGUAAUCGUGAAUCAGAAUGUCACGGUGAAUACGUUCCCGGGCCUU
rnacentral:rRNA from 1 species